CCUACGGGUGACAGCAGUAGGGAAUCUUUCACAAUGGGCGAAAGCCUGUUGGAGCAACGCCGCGUGCAGGAUGAAGGCCUUCGGGUUGUAAACUGCUUUUAUAAGCGAGAAAUAUGAUGGUAACUUAUGAAUAAGGAUCGGCUAACUACGUGCCAGCAGCCGCGGUCAUACGUAGGAUCCGAGCAUUAUCCGGAGUGACUGGGUGUAAAGAGUUGCGUAGGUGGCAUAAUAAGUAGCUAGUGAAAUCUGGUGGCUCAACCAUUCAGACUAUUAGCUAAACUGUUAAGCUCGAGACCGUUAGGGGUAACUGGAAUUUCUAGUGUAGGAGUGAAAUCCGUAGAUAUUAGAAGGAACACCAAUAGCGUAGGCAGGUUGCUGGGACGGUUCUGACACUAAGGCACGAAAGCGUAGGGAGCAAACGGGAUUAGAUACCCGAGUAGUC
rnacentral:rRNA from 1 species